rnacentral:rRNA from 1 species
GACGAACGCUGGCGGCGUGCUUAACACAUGCAAGUCGAACGGAAAGGCCCUGCUUUUGUGGGGUGCUCGAGUGGCGAACGGGUGAGUAACACGUGAGUAACCUGCCCUUGACUUUGGGAUAACUUCAGGAAACUGGGGCUAAUACCGGAUAGGAGCUCCUGCUGCAUGGUGGGGGUUGGAAAGUUUCGGCGGUUGGGGAUGGACUCGCGGCUUAUCAGCUUGUUGGUGGGGUAGUGGCUUACCAAGGCUUUGACGGGUAGCCGGCCUGAGAGGGUGACCGGCCACAUUGGGACUGAGAUACGGCCCAGACUCCUACGGGAGGCAGCAGUGGGGAAUAUUGCACAAUGGGCGGAAGCCUGAUGCAGCAACGCCGCGUACGGGAUGACGGCCUUCGGGUUGUAAACCGCUUUCGCCUGUGACGAAGCGUGAGUGACAGUAAUGGGUAAAGAAGCACCGGCUAACUACGUG